AUUGAACGCUGGCGGAAUGCUUUACACAUGCAAGUCGAACGGCAGCACGGGUGCUUGCACCUGGUGGCGAGUGGCGAACGGGUGAGUAAUAUAUCGGAACGUAUCCAAUAAUGGGGGAUAACUAAUCGAAAGGUUGGCUAAUACCGCAUACGCCCUACGGGGGAAAGCUAGGGACCUUCGGGCCUGGCGUUAAUGGAGCGGCCGAUAUCUGAUUAGCUAGUUGGUGGGGUAAUAGCCUACCAAGGCGACGAUCAGUAGCUGGUCUGAGAGGACGACCAGCCACACUGGAACUGAGACACGGUCCAGACUCCUACGGGAGGCAGCAGUGGGGAAUUUUGGACAAUGGGCGCAAGCCUGAUCCAGCCAUUCCGCGUGAGUGAAGAAGGCCUUCGGGUUGUAAAGCUCUUUCGCAAGGGAAGAAAACUUAUCCUCUAACAUAGGAUGGGGUUGACGGUACCUUGAUAAGAAGCACCGGCUAACUACGUGCCAGCAGCCGCAGUAACAC
rnacentral:rRNA from 1 species